rnacentral:rRNA from 1 species
GACGAACGCUGGCGGCGUGCUUAACACAUGCAAGUCGAACGGAGCGAAUGAAAGCUUGCUUUUAUGAGCUUAGUGGCAAACGGGUGAGUAACACGUAGACAACCUGCCGAUCAGAUGGGGACAACAUUCCGAAAGGAAUGCUAAUACCGAAUGGCGUGGAGGGAAGGCAUCUUCCUUUCAUGAAAGAUGGCCUCUAUAUAUAAGCUAUCACUGAUCGAUGGGUCUGCGUCUGAUUAGCUAGUAGGUAAGGUAACGGCUUACCUAGGCGACGAUCAGUAGCCGGUCUGAGAGGAUGAACGGCCACAUUGGGACUGAGACACGGCCCAGACUCCUACGGGAGGCAGCAGUGGGGAAUCUUCCGCAAUGGGCGCAAGCCUGACGGAGCAACGCCGCGUGAGUGAAGAAGGUCUUCGGAUCGUAAAGCUCUGUUGAAGGGGACGAACGUACAUAGUGCGAAUAGUGCUGUGUAAUGACGGUACCUUUGAGAAGCCCG